rnacentral:rRNA from 1 species
UGGCGGACGGGUGAGUAACGCGUGGGUAACCUGCCUCAUACAGGGGGGUAACAGUUGGAAACGACUGCUAAUACCGUAUAAGACCACAGCACCGCAUGGUGCAGGGGUAAAAACUCCGGUGGUACAGGAUGGACCCGCGUCUGAUUAGCUGGUUGGUGAGGUAACGGCUCACCAAGGCGACGAUCAGUAGCCGGCUUGAGAGAGUGAACGGCCACAUUGGGACUGAGGGACGGCCCAAACUCCUACGGGAGGCAGCAUG